CGGGCUGUCGCGGAGAAUUGCCGCGCCGCUGGGGUCAAGGGGUCGCAGGUUCAAAUCCUGUCGUCCCGA
rnacentral:tRNA from 1 species